rnacentral:rRNA from 1 species
GAGGAGCUUGCUCCUCUGACGUUAGCGGCGGACGGGUGAGUAACACGUGGAUAACCUACCUAUAAGACUGGGAUAACUACGGGAAACCGGAGUUAAUACCGGAUAAUAUAUUGAACCGCAUGGUUCAAUAGUGAAAGACGGUUUUGCUGUCACUUAUAGAUGGAUCCGCGCCGCAUUAGCUAGUUGGUAAGGUAACGGCUUACCAAGGCAACGAUGCGUAGCCGACCUGAGAGGGUGAUCGGCCACACUGGAACUGAGACACGGUCCAGACUCCUACGGGAGGCAGCAGUAGGGAAUCUUCCGCAAUGGGCGAAAGCCUGACGGAGCAACGCCGCGUGAGUGAUGAAGGUCUUCGGAUCGUAAAACUCUGUUAUUAGGGAAGAACAAAUGUGUAAGUAACUAUGCACGUCUUGACGGUACCUAAUCAGAAAGCCACGGCUAACUACGUGCCAGCAGCCGCGGUAAUACGUAGGUGGCAAGCGUUAUCCGGAAUUAUUGGGCGUAAAGCGCGCGUAGGCGGUUUUUUAAGUCUGAUGUGAAAGCCCACGGCUCAACCGUGGAGGGUCAUUGGAAACUGGAAAACUUGAGUGCAGAAGAGGAAAGUGGAAUUCCAUGUGUAGCGGUGAAAUGCGCAGAGAUAUGGAGGAACACCAGUGGCGAAGGCGACUUUCUGGUCUGUAACUGACGCUGAUGUGCGAAAGCGUGGGGAUCAAACAGGAUUAGAUANCCUGGUAGUCCACGCCGUAAACGAUGAGUGCUAAGUGUUAGGGGGUUUCCGCCCCUU